CACCACACAUGCAUGCAUGCCAUUUCUCUAGAAGCAGUUUAACCUCAAGCCUGCAAUCAAUAGGUGGCAAGCUGGUCCUGGGAUUUGGUGUAGUUUGAUGGUCGAUUGCUACAGCUCUCACAUCCAUUGCUGCUAAACUGGGAUUGCCUUUCCUUCCUGUUGUUCACGCUUUCAUGGAUAUCAAUGAGGGUGUUGCUAUGGUUACCAUAAAUAACAUUCUGUCAAAAUGGGUUCCAGUAGUAGAGAGAAGUAGAUCAUUAGCUUUGGUGUACAGUGGGAUGUACCUUGGAUCAGUCACUGCCUAGCCUUUUCAACGUUUUUAAUCCACCAGUUUGGUUGGCCAUCAGUCUUCUACUCCUUUGGUUCUCUAGGAACAGUUUGGGUUUCUGUGUGGCUAAGUAAGGCAUAUAGUUCUCCUCUUGAGGAUCCUGAGCUGUUGCCUGAAAAGAAGAAGCUAAUCCUUUCCAACAGCGUUUCCAAGGAACCUGUUAAAACAAUACCUUGGGGACUAAUUUUGUCAAAACCACCUGUAUGGGCCCUAAUAGUUUCUCACUUCUGUCACAAUUGGGAAACAUUUAUUCUUUUGACAUGGAUGCCAACCUACUAUAACCAAGUAAGUCUCUACUUAUCUCUAGACCCCUAUAAUCAGGGGCUACUGGAACACCACGACUUCACUUUAGUGCAUCAUAUCCAAUAUUUCUUGCAUUUAAAAUUUUUAAUGCAAACAUGAGCAAUCAAUAAUCAUUGAUGGAUGUGAGCAAAUUAUGAAUAUUGUGGCUUCAGGGUCCUUGUAGAUAGCAACUAGGUGAG